AUAGGGUCAACACAGUUGUCACACCCGAAGUCGUGAGGUAACCGUAAGGCGGCAGCCGCCUAAGGUGGGAUAGAUGAUUGGGGUGAAGUCGUAACAAGGUAGCCGUAUCGAAAGGUGCGGCUGGAUCACCUCCUUUCUAAGGAUAAGGAACUGCGCAUUGGUCUUGUUUAGUCUUGAGAGGUCUUGUGGGGCCUUAGCUCAGCUGGGAGAGCGCCUGCUUUGCACGCAGGAGGUCAGCGGUUCGAUCCCGCUAGGCUCCAUUGGUGAGAGAUCACCAAGUAAUGCACAUUGAAAAUUGAAUAUCUAUAUCAAAUAGUAACAAGAAAAUAAACCGAAAACGCUGUAGUAUUAAUAAGAGUUUAUGACUGAAAGGUCAGAAAAUAAGGUUAAGUUAAUAAGGGCGCACGGUGCAUGCCUUGGCACUAGGAGCCGACGAAGGACGUGACAGACGACGAUAUGCCUUGAGUAGCUGUGAGUGAGCGAUGAUCCGGGCAUUUCCGACGGGGAAAAACCCAAAAGGCCCGGGACCGUAUUUCCCAGGCCCCGGGAAACGUAUUUCACAGGCCCGGGAACGUUAUUUCACAGGCCCGGGAACGUAUUUCACAGGCCCGGGAACUGUUUUCCCAGGCCGGGAACGUAUUCACAGGGUCCGUGUGUGUUUUUUGUUAGUCAAAAUAUGAAUAAAUAAAGGAUGAUAAUAUUUAUUAAAUGUUGUGGGGUGACCGUCGCGCGCCGCGCACGCGGCGUCCUAUCUUGGCUAUAGUUGUAUGAUUAUAUUCAGAAAGAGAAUAGAGAAAGCAGACUGAUGAUCAUAUGGUAGCGACCUGGGACGGCCGCAGGACGCCACAAGAUCACUGCAC
rnacentral:misc_RNA from 1 species